rnacentral:lncRNA from 1 species
AGCGGUUUCAUUUGUAUGACGUCAUGUUUUGAAAUUACUUAAAUGCGCCAAAAAGAUUAAUAGACUUUCGCGGAAUUUUAUUUAAUUUUUAUUUUGUUGACUUCUCCGAGCUCUUGUGCAUUACUUCUUUUUAUUAUGCAUACGAAUAAGAAUAAAAGUUAUUUUGUCUUUUUUUAAUUGCACUUUUUAAAACAAUAAAAUCGGCAAAGGGUCUGCAAAUAGGUUCCAAUAUAUGAAGAUUUACG